rnacentral:rRNA from 1 species
AUUGAACGCUGGCGGCAUGCCUUACACAUGCAAGUCGAACGGUAACAGGUCUUCGGAUGCUGACGAGUGGCGAACGGGUGAGUAAUACAUCGGAACGUGCCUAGUAGUGGGGGAUAACUACUCGAAAGAGUGGCUAAUACCGCAUGAGAUCUACGGAUGAAAGCAGGGGAUCGCAAGACCUUGUGCUACUAGAGCGGCCGAUGGCAGAUUAGGUAGCUGGUGGGAUAAAAGCUUACCAAGCCGACGAUCUGUAGCUGGUCUGAGAGGACGAUCAGCCCCACUGGGACUGGGACACGGCCCAGACUCCUACGGGAGGCAGCAGUGGGGAAUUUUGGACAAUGGGCGCAAGCAUGAUCCAGCAAUGCCGCGUGCAGGAUGAAGGCCUUCGGGUUGUAAACUGCUUUUGUACGGAACGAAAAGCCCUGGGUUAAUACCCUGGGGUCAUGACGGUACCGUAAGAAUAAGCACCGGCUAACUACGUGCCAGCCGCCGCCGUAACAC